GUCAGUGGUGAAAAGAUACAGCUUAACUGUGGUUGAGCCAUUGAUACUAGUUCUCUAGAGUACAAAUGGAGUGGGCGGAAUUGUCAUGUAGCGGUGAAAUGCAUAGAUAUGACAUAGAACACCGAUCGCGAAGGCAGCUCACUAAGAUGUUACUGACGCUGAUGCACGAAAGCGUGGGGAUCAAACAGGAUUAGAUACCCUGGUAGUCCACGCUGUAAACGAUGAUAACUCGUUGUCGGCGAUAUACAGUCGGUGACCAAGCGAAAGCGAUAAGUUAUCCACCUGGGGAGUACGAUCGCA
rnacentral:rRNA from 1 species